UACGAAGGGGGCUAGCGUUGCUCGGAUUGACUGGGCGUAAAGGGCGCGUAGGCGGUUCGUACAGUCAGACGUGAAAUUCCUGGGCUCAACCUGGGGGCUGCGUUUGAUACGUGCGGACUUGAGUGCGGAAGAGGGUCGUGGAAUUCCCAGUGUAGAGGCGAAAUUCGUAGAUAUUGGGAAGAACACCGGUGGCGAAGGCGGCGACCUGGUCCGAUACUGACGCUGAGGCGCGAAAGCGUGGGGAGCAAACAGG
rnacentral:rRNA from 1 species